GAUUUAAAAAUGUGUUAUAUAUACACAAUGGAAUACUAUGGAGCUAUAAAAAUAAUAAAAUCUUGUCAUUUGUGACACCAUGGAUUAACUAGAGGACGUUAUGUGAAGUGAAAUAAGUUAGGCACAGAAGGACAAAUACUGCAUGAUCUCACUCAAAUGUGGAAUCUAAAACAGUUCAUCUCAUAGAAAUAGAGAGUGUGAUAGUGGUUACCAGAAACUGGCGAGAAGGUGAGGUAGGGCAGCUUGGGGAGCGAUUUGUCAAUGAGAACAAGGUUGCAGUUAGAUAGGAGAAGUUCUGGUGUUUUGUUGCAAAGUAGGGUGAUUAUAGUUGACAGUAAUGUAUUGUGUAUUUCAAAAUGUCUAGAAGAGAGGAUUUUGAAUGUUCUCACCACAAAUGACAAGUGUUUGAGGUGAUGGAUAUCCUAACUACUCUUAUUUGAUUAUUAGAUGAUAUAUUCAUAUAUUGAAAUGUCACACUGUAGCCCAUAAAUAUGUACAAUUAUGUGUCAAUUAGAAACAAAAUAAAACUUAAAAAGUCAGAUGAUUCCUUUUCCUUUUUAACCUUGUUUCUCCCUCUUAUCUAUGUAUUAUAGCUGCUCUGUGUGUUUCUCCUUCUCCCCCUGAAUCCCUUGUUCUUGUCAGUGGCACCAUGUGAGACACUCUCGUUGGACAGAUGACUGAGAUGCAAAAGAGGCAGAAUGAGUGAAGCCGUUAUCUGUGAGGUCUUAAACUCAACCAGUUGUCAACCAGAGAAUGUUUAAAUUUACCUACAUCCUUGAAGAUCCUCUACCUUUUGACUUGUCCCACCUUUCUGAACCAAACCAAUGUAUUUCUUAAAUGUAUUUGAUUGAUGUCUCAUUCCUCCCUGAAAUGUAUAAAACCAAGCUACACCCCGACGGCCUUGAGAACACGUUCUGAGGACCUCCUGGGGGCUGGUUUAUUCUGGUUCAGAAUAAAUCUCUUCAAAAUA